AGUAAACCUUCUUGGUGACCCCAGUUAUAAUCAAAAGAGGCCACGAAACUACAGACUACUGACGAAAAGUGUCAGUGCAGACACUUUCCAUCAAUCAACAGGCAGUCCAAGGGACGCAAGAGAACACAAGUCUGGGUAACAUGAAUUUGGUAAGAAAGCAGGCUAAACCUCCUGUGUCUUAGUAUUCGAAGUGAGUCAUUCUAUAGAAUUUUUGACUAAUCUGAGAAAGGCC
rnacentral:lncRNA from 1 species